rnacentral:lncRNA from 1 species
AUAAUUUCAAGUAAAGUAUGGUGAUUUCUUCAGUUUUGUUAUUUUUGCUUGGGAUAGUGAUAUGGUUUGAAUCUGUAUCUGCACCCAGGUCUCAGGUUGAACUGUGAUCCCAGUGUUGGAGGUGAAGUAUAGCAAGAGUGAAUGGGACUCACAAGAUCUCAUGGUUUUAAAAACGGGAGUUUCCCUGCACAAGUUAUUUUUUUGCCUGCUGCCUUCCACGUAAGAUGUGACUUGCUCCACCUUGCCUUCCGCCAUGAUCGUAAGGCCUCCCCAGCCAUUUGGAACUGUAAGUCUAAGAAGCCUCUUUCUUUCGUAAAUUGCUGAAUCUCAGGUAUGUCUUUAUCAACAGCAUGAAAAUGGACCAAUACAUAUACCUUGUGAUUUUUUUGUUCAAAACUGAACAUUUGGGUCUAGUAAUGUGAUAACUUUAAAAAUCAGAUUCUCUCCCUUCCCAGGACUUGCCGAGUUUUGUUUUGGGGUUGGUUUUUGUGGGGUGGUUGUAGGCUAUCUGUGUGCUGAGCAUUAGCCUGAGGUGCAAACGUAAGGUCUUCUCAAGUGUUUUCUGAGUCUGUACCCCUUUCCCCGGGUUUAUGUGGUGACUUAAUUUCAAAUGUCCUAGUCCUUAAUGUCUGACCCUCCAGAAAAGAAAGGAGAAAAAUGAAAGUGGGGAAAAAGCACUUGCCUUUCAAAUUUCC